rnacentral:misc_RNA from 2 species
UCGUAACAAGGUUUCCGUAGGUGAACCUGCGGAAGGAUCAUUACCGAGUGAGGGCCCUCUGGGUCCAACCUCCCACCCGUGUUUAUUUUACCUUGUUGCUUCGGCGGGCCCGCCUUAACUGGCCGCCGGGGGGCUUACGCCCCCGGGCCCGCGCCCGCCGAAGACACCCUCGAACUCUGUCUGAAGAUUGUAGUCUGAGUGAAAAUAUAAAUUAUUUAAAACUUUCAACAACGGAUCUCUUGGUUCCGGCAUCGAUGAAGAACGCAGCGAAAUGCGAUACGUAAUGUGAAUUGCAAAUUCAGUGAAUCAUCGAGUCUUUGAACGCACAUUGCGCCCCCUGGUAUUCCGGGGGGCAUGCCUGUCCGAGCGUCAUUGCUGCCCUCAAGCACGGCUUGUGUGUUGGGCCCCGUCCUCCGAUCCCGGGGGACGGGCCCGAAAGGCAGCGGCGGCACCGCGUCCGGUCCUCGAGCGUAUGGGGCUUUGUCACCCGCUCUGUAGGCCCGGCCGGCGCUUGCCGAUCAACCCAAAUUUUUAUCCAGGUUGACCUCGGAUCAGGUAGGGAUACCCGCUGAACUUAAGCAUAUCAAUAA